GAUGUUGGGUUAAGUCCCGCAACGAGCGCAACCCCCGUCGCAUGUUGCCAGCAUUUAGUUGGGGACUCAUGCGAGACUGCCGGUGACAAACCGGAGGAAGGUGGGGAUGACGUCAAGUCAUCAUGCCCCUUAUGUCCAGGGCUACACACGUGCUACAUUGGCGCGUACAGAGGGCUGCAAGACCGUGAGGUGGAGCGAAUCCCUUAAAGCGCGUCUCGGUUCGGAUUGCAGGCUGAAACUCGCCUGCAUGAAGGUGGAGUUGCUAGUAAUCGCGGAUCAGCAUUGCCGCGGUGAAUACGUUCCCGGGCCUUGUACACACCGCCCGUCACACCAUGGGAGUGAGCAACACCCGAAGCCGGUGGCCUAACCCUUUUGGGAGGGAGCCGUCGAAGGUGGGGCUCGUGACUGGGGUGAAGUCGUAACAAGGUAA
rnacentral:rRNA from 1 species